CAAUAGCGUAUAUUAAAGUUGUUGCGGUUAAAAAGCUCGUAGUUGGAUUUCUGCUGAGAACGACCGGUCCGCCCUCUGGGUGUGUAUCUGGCUCUUUCUUGGCAUCUUCUUGGUGAACGUUGCUGCACUUGACUGUGUGGAGCGCUACCCAGGACUUUUACUUUGAGGAAAUUAGAGUGUUUCAAGCAGGCAUACGCCUUGAAUACAUUAGCAUGGAAUAAUAAGAUAGGACCUCGGUUCUAUUUUGUUGGUUUCUAGAGCUGAGGUAAUGAUUAAUAGGGAUAGUUGGGGGCAUUCGUAUUUAACUGUCAGAGGUGAAAUUCUUGGAUUUGUUAAAGACGUACUACUGCGAAAGCAUUUGCCAAGGAUGUUUNCAUUG
rnacentral:rRNA from 1 species